ACGAACCGUCCAAACGUUAUUCGGUAUCACUGGGCUUAAAGCGUGCGUAGGCGGCCUGGUAGGUGAGGUGUGAAAUCCCACGGCUCAACCGUGGAAUUGCGCUUCAAACCACCAGGCUCGAGGAAGGUAGGGGUGAUGGGAACUUAUGGUGGAGCGGUGAAAUGCGUUGAUAUCAUAGGGAACACCGGUGGCGAAAGCGCAUCACUGGAUCUUUACUGACGCUGAGGCACGAAAGCUAGGGUAGCGAACGGGAUUAGAUACCCCGGUAGUCCUAGCCGUAAACGAUGAGCACUGGGUUGAGGGAACUAUCACAUUCUCUCGGCCGUAGCGAAAGCGUUAAGUGCUCCGCCUGGGGAGUAUGGUCGCAAGGCUG
rnacentral:rRNA from 1 species